UACGUAGGUGGCAAGCGUUGUCCGGAUUUAUUGGGUUUAAAGGGUGCGUAGGUUGUUUUGUAAGUCAGUGGUGAAAUCCGGCAGCUUAACUGUCGAUGUGCCAUUGAUACUGCAGAACUUGAGUACAGACGAGGUAGGCGGAAUUGACGGUGUAGCGGUGAAAUGCUUAGAUAUCGUCAAGAACACCGAUAGCGAAGGCAGCUUACUAGACUGUAACUGACACUGAUGCACGAAAGUGUGGGGAUCAAAC
rnacentral:rRNA from 1 species